AUGUAUCGACACCCCGCGCACAGUGCGGUUGCGACUGGCCGGUGUAACUGACCGGAAGUGGGUGACGGCGGGAUAUAGAUUUGUAUGGACAGAUGAAUAAAAUAGAUAGCCUCGAGUUGUUCGGGAAUAGGUGGUAGUAGAAAACGGCAGCGCAGUGGCAAAAGCGACUGUAGCGGCGGGGGGGCGGCAGCAACAGCAGCAGCAGCAGCAGCUGCUCGCUGCAUCUCAACACGUGCCUUCUAAUUUUAAUAUUUGCAUAAUUAUUGUGACCCCUCAUUAGCACCGCGGGACGUAGAUUUACAGAGUCUGGAGAUAAUUCGGAUUUUGAGAUUCUCGUGUAUUCGGCGCGUUAAAACCUCUCGGCAAUGACAUUGAUUUACACUCACCUGUAAAACGAUCAAAGAAAAAAGAAGAGAUGAGAAUUUUUUAUUUUACCAAUAUCUACACAGCAAAAUAUUUAUGCAAUUUGUUUUUUUUUUUUUCUUCUCGGUAUACUCGCACACGUGUACAGGUAUAUGCGAUGUAACGUGAAUCUUAUUGAGAUUCCGGGCACGUCGAAUCGACUCACGCGACGUAUAUACUCGUAUAUACAUAUAUAAUGUACGUACGAUACGUACAUACGUCACGUAUACACUAGAUAUUACAUACAUAUGUAUAUGAGUUGGUCGAUGCUGCCAAACUGCAACUAUCCAUGUCGGGUAGAUCUGUUGGAUAAUAUUUAUUUUUCAUCCGGACAACAUUCGACUCCGUAAAAAGUUAUUCCGAAAUGCACGUCUCUUAAUCUUCGAGUGGACGUUGGAUGAAAGAUUAAAGGUGUUCCGAACACACUGGUGGUUCGUUAGAUCGUGUUACGUUUUUUAAUUUUAGAACUCUCUUUGAUGACGAUGAAAUAUAAUAAUCGUAACUACCACGAUGAAAGCGUGGUCUCUAAUUUAUUUUUUUACAUUUCAUUUCCUUUUUUUUAUUAGAUACCUGAACCUCGCAUCAUCGAUGAAUAAAAUGUAAUUUCAUCUCUUUCAUUCGCCCUAGCUUUUCUCUUUCAUCUCUAAAUUUUCAACCAGUAGUAGUGAGAAAUAAUCAAAUGAAAAAGUCAAGUGUGCGUAAAAGCGGUGUGAACAGUAGACGAUGAUCAUUUGAAAAAAAAAAAUAAAAAUAAUUAUUCAACACCUGCGAUCUUUCAAUUUCAUUGACGCGAAAGAUUGCCUAUAGAACGACCCGUACGAUGAAAUUUUACAACAACCUUGAUGGAGCGAAUCCACUGAAAAACUGUAUCAAUUGAUUUCCUUGUUUUCAAUUCCUUAUCGAUUCACUAUCUUGGAUGAUGAUGAGAUCUAAAUCCCCGUUAUCUGAUCUACGCUCGUCGUAAGUUUAAAGACAAA